GACGAACGCUGGCGGCGUGCUUAACACAUGCAAGUCGAACGGAAAGGCCCUGCUUUUGUGGGGUGCUCGAGUGGCGAACGGGUGAGUAACACGUGAGUAACCUGCCCUUGACUUUGGGAUAACUUCAGGAAACUGGGGCUAAUACCGGAUAGGAGCUCCUGCUGCAUGGUGGGGGUUGGAAAGUUUCGGCGGUUGGGGAUGGACUCGCGGCUUAUCAGCUUGUUGGUGGGGUAGUGGCUUACCAAGGCUUUGACGGGUAGCCGGCAUGAGAGGGUGACCGGCCACAUUGGGCCUGAGAUACGGCCCAGACUCCUACGGGAGGCAGCAGUGGGGAAUAUUGCACAAUGGGCGGAAGCCUGAUGCAGCAACGCCGCGUGCGGGAUGACGGCCUUCGGGUUGUAAACCGCUUUCGCAUGUGACGAAGCGUGAGUGACGGUAAUGGGUAAAGAAGCACCGGCUAACUACGUG
rnacentral:rRNA from 1 species